GAUGAACGCUGGCGGCGUGCCUAAUACAUGCCAGUCGAGCGAACGGACGAGAAGCUUGCUUCUCUGAUGUUAGCGGCGGACGGGUGAGUAACACGUGGAUAACCUACCUAUAAGACUGGGAUAACUUCGGGAAACCGGAGCUAAUACCGGAUAAUAUUUUGAACCGCAUGGUUCAAAAGUGAAAGACGGUCUUGCUGUCACUUAUAGAUGGAUCCGCGCUGCAUUAGCUAGUUGGUAAGGUAACGGCUUACCAAGGCAACGAUGCAUAGCCGACCUGAGAGGGUGAUCGGCCACGCUGGAGCUGAGACACGGUCCAGACUCCUACGGGAGGCAGCAGUGGGGAAUCUUCCGCGAUGGGCGAAAGCCUGACGGAGCAACGCCGCGUGAGUGAUGAAGGUCUUCGGAUCGUAAAACUCUGUUAUUCGGGAAGAACAUAUGUGUAAGUAACUGUGCACAUCUUGACGGUACCUAAUCAGAAAGCCACGGCUAACUACGU
rnacentral:rRNA from 1 species